GAAACAGAGAUGGACAAACAGUGGUAUCCGUUUGGACGGUUUUGAUGGGACCUCUCUGAUCAAGUUGAACCUCUUCCCCUUCUUUCCCAUGGUUUUGCAGUUAUCCACAUGUCUAGCCAUCUUAAUCUCUCUUCAAGAUCGUAACUUGUGGGAAAAAUAACAGGAAAGAAAGAAAGAAUAAAGGAGCUCUAAAAGUGCAGAGAGUAGAAGACAGAAGAGCUCAUGAUGGGUUUUGAUAGAUUUUGUUGUUUAUGCAUUCUCUGAUGAGAAAUUCUUUGUGGAAACUUUCCAUCACGCCACAGGAUACACCAGGGUGUCCUCCAGCCUUUAGCUUGAUGUUUGACAUAAACGCUUUAUUUUUGGAACAACGGAGGAGGGCCAGAGCUACUGCUUCUACUGGCAUAAACUUUGCUUCUAAGACUGAUUUCACAUUGGACCAUAACCUUUUUAACUUACGACCUAAUCCCUCAUACAAUUCCCCACAUAUUCCCCUUGUUACAGGCUAUAUUUCUUUAAUUUUCGUGGCUUUUUUUUUUUUUGUUAUUUUUUUUUGUGGAAACCGAAAAUGUACAAGACGCUACUGGAACAUCUUUGAAGAACAAUGUAACCUCAAUUUUAUA